rfam:Veillonella montpellierensis DNF00314 contig03, whole genome shotgun sequence.
GCUUCUCGAGGUAGAAAAUUUGUGGCAUCUACACAACUAGAAAUAGGAUUGAGAUGUGGGGUAAGCGACACCCACCGAGAAGC